rnacentral:lncRNA from 10 species
GACGACGUGACGGCUGCUGCGGUGGGGAGCCGGGGAGGCUCGCGCGGGCGCGGGAAGGAGGCGGGAGCCCGGUUGCUGAGGCCCCCCGUCCCCACGCCGCCACUGCGGCGCUGCCAGACAGCCAGGGGCGGGGGAGGCGGAGGGAGGAGGCGGCGAGCCCGCGGCGCGGGGCCUGGGCGGGGGAAACUCGCGCCCCAGGCUGUGGCCGGCAGGGAGCUGCUUCAGGGACAAGAUGUGGGGCUGGAUGUGCUCACGCCCCAGAGGCGACCCCCUCCUGCCCGCUGGCACGCCGCGGGGUCAAACUGUGCUCUCCAGCCGUGGCUUCCUCCCCGCCACCUGUUGCACCCCAUUGCUUCCCCAAGUGUCCUGGCUUCAACCUCCCUCUCUGGUUUUCCCAGCUCUCAGCCCACAAUCUUCAGUCCUUCGGAAUACAAGUCUUGUCGUAUGAAGGAAGCCGGGUAACUCAGCACCUUCCUUGGCACCGAGAAGAAGAGAGACAGGGGUCUCCCCAGCAAGCUCUGAUGUGAGGUAUUCCACAGGGCAAAUUCCCAGGUAUUUGGGGGCAGGGAGGACCCGCCAACAGAGGACCAGGCGGAGACAUUCACUGGAGAAUUUUCUCUGAACCCCAAGGGGGCACUGCCACAAUGUGGCUCCCGCUUUGGCCCCAGAAGCUGAGUGUGAGAGGGACCAACUGGAAUAGAGGAGGCUUUGGAAACCUCCUUGAGACUGGAUGGCCGAAUCUUUCUGGAGACUUGGCACCAGGUGAUAGCAGAAGAAGACACGAGAAGGCACAGAGGGGGAAGGGGAAGGGGCAGUGCCCCACUUCAGGGGAGACACGUCAAGAGUCUCAAGCAUACUUGGACUUCAUCUUCUUUCCCUAGACCCUUCUGAUUUGCUUCAGAAGGAGAAGGAAUGGCAAAGAUUUGUGUACCAAGCUGAUGCCAGACGCUGGCAGCAUCCUCACCUGUUGCUCCAGAAGGGGCUGUGUGCAUCCUUGAAGAGGCUUAGCUCUACCACACUCACCUACAACACCCUCUUCACCACCCCACCUCCCAAGCACAUCACUCUGCUUUGUCCUCUUCACAACACUGCUCACUCAUUGAUGAUUAUCUUGGGCAUUUUUUAUGAGCUUGUUUACAGUGGGUCUCUCCUACUGAAGUAAGCUCAGGGACAAACACACACAUGCAUACACACAAAAUGUGUCUGUUGGGGUCUCCACUGUAUCCCUAAGACUUAGCAGAGCUCUGGGUACACAAUAGGCACUCAACCAAAUGUGUCACUGAUUUGUGUGCAGCUGUGUGUGUCCUACUACCACUGAGUUAGUCCACUAGGACCUGGGGCUGCCUUCAGACUACGGUGCAAGACAGAAGAGACUGCAGGACAUGUUUAGGCUUGCACAGCCCCUCACCCCCGCCCCCCGACACACACCGGGAAGAGCCCCAUACUUUCUUUCAUGCUUUGCUGCUGAAAUUUUUAAUAAUUUUUGAACAAGUGGACCUGCAUUUUUCUUUUUUCCUGGGCCCUGCAAAUUAUAUAGCCAGUUUUGCCCUGGGCAGAAAUGCCGCAGAGCAGGGAACAGGCAAACACGCGGCUUUGCUGAGGCCAUGAGGAAGAGAAGGCUGCCAGUCCAUCCGCCUGCCGUCCUGUCCAACACCAGACUGCUAUGGAAAGGAGCAUGUCUGCCCUUACUGUAGCCAGCCUGGGAUUUGAAGUGUCCUGUAUGCAUGUCUCUUCCUCCACUGACAUUGGACCUCCGGGAAAUGAAGGAUGACAUACGGCACAGCAGAAAUUGAUCAUCAGCUGGAAAUGAUAUAUAACAGGGACUAUUGUAGGCCCUGUGAAGGAAGAUGAGUCCUUUUUCACGGCUUCAUAAACUAGAUGGAGAGACACAGGAGGAGACCAACAAGUACGGCACAGAACAACCAGGGAUAGAAGUGGACUCUGAGCUGUCUUCUCUAGAAGAACAGCUACUGCAUUGGAACUCAUCUGGGGGUAAGUGGACAGCAGGAAGGUCUAUAAAACAGGAAGAAGGACAUGGAUAGAUUAAUAGAAAAGAGCACUCUUGGCUGAACUUCCACAGGUCAUUCGAAGAUAU